UGGAUAGUUAAAUCACAACAUACAUGUAGAAGGAAGUAAAAAAGUAUGAAAAUAAAAAAAGAAUGAAGAAUGGUCCCUCAAAUACAAGGAGGAUUGGAAAAAGUAAUCUAUGAUUGGAAAGGUGCAACCCAGCAAGACUAAACUAGAGAAGAAAGAGUAUAAAUCUUUGGUGGACAGCAAGCUAUCUCUGGGAGGCUCUCACUCUGGCCACCAAAAAUCUGUUCUAAGGUAGAUGUAUACAGAGUUUCCAGUGGAGUAUGAUAAACGUUAUAAGAUGACCAAAUCAUUAGCUGGAAUGAACCUGGGUCCUCAACGAUUGCAUGGAAUUGCAGAAACCCUUUCCCACCUCCACAAUUCACCUACGUUGUACUAUGUGUGGAGUGAGAA